rnacentral:rRNA from 1 species
UACAGAGGGGGCAAGCGUUGUUCGGAAUUACUGGGCGUAAAGGGCGCGUAGGCGGCCUGCUAAGUCGAACGUGAAAUCCCCGGGCUCAACCCGGGAACUGCGUCCGAUACUGGCAGGCUUGAAUCCGGGAGAGGGAUGCGGAAUUCCAGGUGUAGCGGUGAAAUGCGUAGAUAUCUGGAGGAACACCGGUGGCGAAGGCGGCAUCCUGGACCGACACUGACGCUGAGGCGCGAAAGCUAGGGUAGCAAACGGG